GACGGGGGGUGCAAGCGUUAUACGGAAUCACUGGGCGUAAAGCGUCUGUAGGUGGUGAUGCAAGUCACUGGUGCAAAACUCUGGCUCAACCGGAGGAAAGCCAGUGAAACUGCAUGACUAGAGUGUGGGAGAGGUAGAAGGAAUUCCCUGAGUAGCGGUGAAAUGCGUAGAUACAGGGAAGAACACCGGAGGCGAAAGCGUUCUACUGGAACACAACUGACUCUGAGAGACGAAAGCUAGGGGAGCGAAUGGG
rnacentral:rRNA from 1 species